rnacentral:rRNA from 1 species
AAAAUGUUACUCAUGCGCAUCACACGGAUGCCUCGACUUCGUACUCCGAUGAAGGACGUGGCCAGCUGCGAUAUGUCCCGGUGAGCCGCUAGGCAGGCGCUACCAGCCGGGAAUUUCCGAAUGGGGCAACCCACUAAAAGUCAUGUUUUAGUAUCCGCUUCGCUUCGUUGAGCGACGGGCUAUAAGACUCAAGCAAUAAGCUUAUAAGAAGCUUACAACUUGCAACUUACAGCUUAUGUCUCGCUCUGCGAAGCGGAGCGGAAGGUCACUCCGCGAACUGAAACAUCUCAGUAGCGGGGGAAAAGAAAUCAAAGAGAGAUUCCCCUAGUAGUGGCGAGCGAACGGGGAACAGCCCAAACCCACCUUCGCUUUUUGCUCCGCAAAAAGCUACGGCGGGCGAGCCCAUUAUCUGCGAAUGGGCCUGCCCACCAUAGCUCCGCGCGAAGCAAGGAGCGACGGUGGGGGUUGUAGGACUCCAUACGACGAUCAGUUUUUCCUAGGCAAACGGCCUGGAACGGCCGGCCAUAGAGGGUGAAAGCCCCGUCGCCGAAAGGAAAUGCUGCGUCAGGAGACUCCUGAGUAGGGUCGGACACGUGAAAUCCGGCCUGAAUCUGGGUGGACCACCACCUAAGGCUAAACAGGUACGAAGAUCAAUAGCGGAUAGUACCGUGAGGGAAAGGUGAAAAGCACCCCGGAAGGGGGAUGAAAUAGUCUCUGAAAUGUGAUGCGUUCAAGGAAUAGGAGCUCGGUACCACACUGUGUUUAUAGAUCGAUGGUAUGAAUCGUAGCAAAUGAUCAUUGAUCAAUUUUCAUUUAUCAUUUAAUGCGCAAUGCUCAAUGAGUACAAUGAAAAUUGGAAAAUGAAAAAUGAUAAUUUUCUGCGAUAUUCAUGCGUGUAGAUCUACUGAGCCCAGCGUGGUACCGAGUGACUGUGUGCCUUUUGCAUAAUGAGCCAACGAGUUAGUUGUCAGUGGUCGGCUAAGGCAGUUUCUAGCCGGAGCCGUAGCGAAAGCGAGUCCUAAACAGGCGUAUAUGAUCGCUGGCACUAGACCCGAAACCGGGUGAGCUACCCAUGAGCAGGGUGAAGUCUCUCCAACGAGAGAUGGAGGCCCGAACCAUAACAUGUCACAAGAUGUUGGGAUGACUUGUGGGUGGGAGUGAAAAGCUUACCGAACCCGGAGAUAGCUGGUUCUCUUCGAAAUGCCUUUAGGGGCAGCCUCGUCGUGCACGAUCGGGGGUAGAGAUACUGUUUGGAUGCGGGGGUCUUCUCGACCCACCAAAUCCUGACAAACUCCGAAUACCGAUCCUUAGGCGACGGGAGUGAGACGGUGACAGCGAAUUGCCAUCGUCACGAGGGAAAGAGCCCAGAUCAUUUGCUAAGGUCCCUAAUACAUGCUCAGUGGCAAAGGAAGUGCGAUUGCUCCGACAACCAGGAGGUUUGCUUAGAAGCAGCCAUCCUUUAAAGAAAGCGUAACAGCUCACUGGUCGAGGAGUCGUGCGCCGAAAAUUCACGGGGCGAAGCAUGUAACCGAAGCAGUGAAUUCGUACGAUCUUCGGAUCGUAUGAGUGGUAGAAGAGCGUUCUGUCCAGCAUUGAAGCGAUAUCGCGAGGUGUCGUGGAGCGGACAGAAGUGAGAAUGUUGGCAUGAGUAACUACUAGGCAGGUGAAAACCCUGCCCGCCGAAUUCCCAAGGUUUCCCACGCAACGGCAAUCGGCGUGGGGUUAGUCGGUCCUAAGGUCAGGCCGAAAGGCGUAGCCGAUGGACAGCAGGUCAACAUUCCUGCACUUCAUGAAAAUCGCCAAGGGGUGGCUGCUGAUAGUCUCUCCGGCCUCUGGUCCAGUUUACUGGACUAUGUCUGAGGGAAAGGAUGCUACCACUUCAGGAGCGGUGGGACGGAGUGGGAGGAUCAGAGCGUGCGUAUUGACUGCACGUGCAACGCGUUAGACGUUGAUUCCGGUAGGUAAAUCCGCCGGAUGAGUCGAGCGCGGACGCCAAUUAUCCGCCUCUGGCGGUUGAGUCUGUCCCCUUGCGCUUCCAAGAAAAGCAUCGCUUUCGAGAGUUUCAUGAAACCGUACCGCAAACCAACACCGGUGGGAUGGUCGAGUAGACCAAGGCGAACGAGUCAUCUUGCGUUAAGGAACUCGGCAAAGAAGCGUCCGUAACUUCGGGAUAAGGACUCCCCGCACCCUUCUGAUCUUAGACGGUAUCUCAUCAUUGACUAUCAAUGGUGACGGUACAGUGAGUUCAGGAGGGUGCGGGGCGCAGCGAAAGAGGCCAGGCGACUGUUUACCAAAAACACAGGUCCCUGCUGAAGUCGUAAGACAACGUAUAGGGGCUGAUGCCUGCCCAGUGUCAGAAGGUCACGUGAGGAGGUUUACGCCUCCGAUCUAAGCCCUGAUGAACGGCGGCCGUAACUAUAACGGUCCUAAGGUAGCGAAAUUCCUUGUCGGGUGGUCGAUAAAAAAACUUGCCCGAAUCCGGAGAAAUCCGCAGCACUAGGGAAUUGUAUGUGGAGCUAUGAGCUUUGAGCGAUGAGCUCGGAGCAGUAGCUCUUUGGUACGUAAGUCAUCCCGCAUCCGCGGGGUUGUCACACACGGAGUUGUGACGGUCUCAUAAGGCGGCGAAAGCCGCGAGAGUUCCGAGAAAGUUUAUUGAAAUAUGUCGUAUUCAAACCAGAACCGCGCCCGCCUACGCUCAGGCUACGGUGGGCAAGCGCAGCUAUAUACCCUGCGCAACUAGUGAAAAACGUCGCUAUAUGCUGGAACAUCCGAGUAUCUCCUACGCCGAAAGGUACGGAGUGCGGAUAAUCAGCAGGAAACCCCACUAUGCGCUACGCGCUUCGCGGGGGCUCCUCAGAGACUACACGCGACGCCUCGGCGUAGUUCGUAAGAAUGAAGCCGUGGAUGAUAUAGUCCGAUCCCUCUGGCGACAGAGGGGAGUGCGAAUUGUGCACUCGGUAAAAAACAUGCGUUUACUCGAGAGAUUCGAGACAUGAGUCUUGAGACUUGAGUGAAGGGUUAGUGCGCCUCGCUGAGCGAGGAUCCGGUGACCCGCCGGAGGAAAUUCUCACGACUGUCCAUCAAUAAGUCGUGCCGAAGGAAAGCUUUGCUUUCCUGGAGGCACUCCACUUAGGGAAAGGAGAGUUCGUGAGAGGAAAACCGUAGGUUUUCCUUUCACGCUUCAUGAAGUUCCGACCCGCACGAAUGGUAUAACGGUCUGGUCACUGUCUCGACGCAAGGCUCGGUGAAAUUGCAGUCCCGGUGCAAAUGCCGGGUAGAUGGUGGAAGGACGAAAAGACCCUAUGAAGCUUUACUAUACGCUGACAUUGUGUCGUUGGUUUGCAUAUGUAGCAUAGGUGGGAGACUGUGAAGUCCCGGCGCUAGCCGGGAUGGAGUCACAAUGUGAAAUACCACCUUUGCGUUCCGACGGCACUCACCCCGAGACGUGACACGCGCCGGGAGACAGUGUUUGCCGGGUAGUUUAACUGGGGCGGUUGCCUCCUAAAGUGUAACGGAGGCGCGCAAAGGUCCACUAGCGCCGGAUGGAAAUCGGCGUUGUCGUGUAAUCGCACACGUGGGCCUGACUGUGAGACUUACAGGUCGAGCAGGGACGAAAGUCGGUGAUAGUGAUCCGGUGUCCGGGCUAUUAACAUGCCCAUACCACGUGGGUGGGACAUCGCUCAACGGAUAAAAGUUACUCUAGGGAUAACAGGCUGAUCGGUUCCAAGCGCCCACAGCGACGAACCGGUUUGGCACCUCGAUGUCGGCUCAUCGCAUCCUGGGACUGAAGAAGGCCCCAAGGGUUUGGCUGUUCGCCAAUGAAAGCGGUACGCGAGCUGGGUUCAGAACGUCGUGAGACAGUUUGGCCUCUAUCCUCCACCAUCACUUAGAGACGUGAGGGAAGUUGCUCCUAGUACGAGAGGACCGGAGUGAACGAACCUCUGGUGUACCUGUUGUCGCGUCAGCGGCACCGCAGGAUAGCUAUGUUCGGAAGGGAUAACCGCUGAAAGCAUCUAAGUGGGAAGCCCCUCCCAAGAUUGCGUCUCUCCAUAAGUCCGCCGGAAGAUGACCGGCUCGAUCGGCCACAGGUGUACGUGCAGCAAUGCAUUCAGCCGAGUGGUACGAAUGGACGAUUGAACAUUUUUC